CCAUCUCUUUCUCUCUCUUUUUCUCUCUCUCACACGCACGCACGCGCGCUCACACGCACACAUCCAUGGAGCUGGCGCGCAGAGCAGUGGCGCCCAUCCUCUCUCUCUCAGUGCGACUCCUCCGAGGGAUCAGGAGUAGACUAAGUCAAACUUCCAGCAGCUUAAGAUUUGUGCGCAACCUUUAAGAGGUCCAAGUCGUCAAGUGCUGAAGACCAGGAGGUGGAAACAUGGGAUAUAAUGUCAGCAGAGUCAAGAGGAGUCUAAUACACUAAAAAAAAACUGGUGUCUGCGGUGAUGUUGCCAUGUACCAGCUGCCAUCUGCUCUUAUCCUUCUUUAUUCAGG